CGGAGUGUAGCGCAGCCUGGUAGCGCACCUGCUUCGGGAGCAGGGGGUCGCAGGUUCGAAUCCUGCCACUCCGA
rnacentral:tRNA from 3 species